rnacentral:lncRNA from 1 species
CAAUUUUAUUUUUUUACUUUUUACCAUUGUUUAAACAUUGAUUAAUUUCCCCAUAUUCACCACCAUCGCGUAACAUUUUUGCAGGCUUACUUCCCAAUGGCGAUUUCGAGGCCACUCUAUCGGAAGGAUUAUCUUCAGAAGCCGGACUUUCCGAUAACAUGGCAACAAUCCCAGCUGGAAAUCUAACGGCACGGUCGAACUAGUCGAAUUAGGCCAAUGAAAGGCAAAAUGAUCCUCAUCGUACCGCAGGGUGCACAUGCUGUGCGGCUCGGUAACGACGCCCAAAUUAACCAAGAAAUCGCCGUCGAAAUGGGCUCAUUGUACUCAAUCACAUUCAGUGCAGCUCAAACUUGCCCCCAAUUAGAGUCGCUCAACGUUUCAGUGCCGCUGGCGUCCCAAAACAUUGAUUUGUAUACUAUGUAUGGUGUGAAAAUACCCCAAGCAGCUGCAUUGUGAUGUCGGAGAUGACGUCGCCGCUCUCAGAUUUUCAAACACGAGGAUGACGCCGACGUUUGCUUCGUCUGUGAGUGUUUGCAUUUCAGUGCGGCAAACGAGGUAUAGGUUCAACAAAUAUGUUGGGGUCGAGUCCGCAUCGUGCUACUGUUCGUCGACAGUGUGAUGUUGUGGCCGUCGCCUCUGGUGUGGUUCGUGGGUAGAGAGUGAGAGAGAGGGAGAGAUUGGAGAGAAAGAAAAGGGUGA